rnacentral:rRNA from 1 species
ACGGGAAGUAGGAUCCAAAAAGGCGAAGUUGAUGCGGCAAAAGCUCAAAUUUUGAAGCUAGCCUUCGGGUUCGCAUUGUAAUUUUGUAGAGGAGGAUUCUGGGGAAGCCGCCUGUCUAAGUUCCUUGGAACAGGACGUCAUAGAGGGUGAGAAUCCCGUAUGUGACAGGAAAUGGCACCCUAUGUAAAUCUCCUUCGACGAGUCGAGUUGUUUGGGAAUGCAGCUCUAAAUGGGAGGUAAAUUUCUUCUAAAGCUAAAUAUUGGCGAGAGACCGAUAGCGCACAAGUAGAGUGAUCGAAAGAUGAAAAGCACUUUGGAAAGAGAGUUAAAAAGCACGUGAAAUUGUUGAAAGGGAAGCGCUUGCAAUCAGACUUGUUUAAACUGUUCGGCCGGUCUUCUGACCGGUUUACUCAGUUUGGACAGGCCAGCAUCAGUUUCGGCGGCCGGAUAAAGGCUCUGGGAAUGUGGCCUCCACUUCGGUGGAGGUGUUAUAGCCCAGGGUGUAAUACGGCCAGCCGGGACUGAGGUCCGCGCUUCGGCUAGGAUGCUGGCGUAAUGGUUGUAAGCGACCCGUCUUAAAAGUGACCACAAACAGGCACGGUUGGUCCUAAUAACACCGGGGGAAUAAACUCCCCCGGAAUGGGGGAGACCCCCUGAGGUCUUAUUCCCGCACCUAAAAAGUAUUUUCCUGCCGAUAGGGCGCAAGGUAAAAAUAG